CGGGCAGCCUCGAGUUCGGAUUCCACUUCUCAGCCUUCUGGGGUCACUGAAACCCUCAGAACUCCGAGGACAAGUCGGACACGCCUUCGCCUCAGCCAUCUUCGCCAGCGCAAUAAGUCUCUGUGUCUUCACACUCCUGGUAGAGGGAAAACUAAAACCUCCGGGAGCCAGCGUCCGGCGGUGCCUGCAAUCUAACCGGGAUUUGGGGUUCCGAGCCACUUUUCCCACAAGCCACCGCGGUCAUGGAGCUUUAGGCUUAAACUACAUUUCCCAGAGGGCAACGGGAACACCCAAUCUAUGGCUUCCCUUCCGUUUUCGCGUGGUUCUUUUGCAAGUUUCAGGAAUUAGUGACAUUCAGGGAUGUGGCCAUAGACUUCUCUCGGCAGGAGUGGGAAUACCUGGACCCUAAUCAGAGGGACUUAUACAGGGAUGUGAUGUUGGAGAACUAUAGAAACCUGGUAUCACUGGAGAUGAGGUCUCGCUCUGUUGCCCGGGUUGGUCUCAAACUCCUGGUCUCAAGUGAUCCUCCCACCUCGGCCUUCCAAAAUGCUGGGAUUAUAGGCGUGAGCCACCAUGCCUAGCCAAUAGUAGUAUUAUUAUGUCCAGUUUAUUUGCCAAAUUGGAAUAAUGAGUUGAAGUCACAUGGCCAAAGUCACAAG
rnacentral:lncRNA from 1 species